AGCGAACGCUGGCGGCAGGCUUAACACAUGCAAGUCGAACGGAUCCUUCGGGAUUAGUGGCGGACGGGUGAGUAACACGUGGGAACGUGCCUUUUGGUUCGGAACAACACAGGGAAACUUGUGCUAAUACCGGAUGUGCCCUUCGGGGGAAAGGAUUUAUCGCCAUUAGAGCGGCCCGCGUCUGAUUAGCUAGUUGGUGAGGUAAAGGCUCACCAAGGCUACGAUCAGUAGCUGGUCNGAGAGGAUGAUCAGCCACACUGGGACUGAGACACGGCCCAGACUCCUACGGGAGGCAGCAGUGGGGAAUCUUGCGCAAUGGGGGAAACCCGUGACGCAGCCAUGCCGCGUGAAUGAUGAAGGUCUUAGGAUUGUAAAUUCUUUCAGCGGGGACGAUAAUGACGGUACCCGCAGAAGAAGC
rnacentral:rRNA from 1 species